UACGUAGGCAGCGAGCGUUGUUCGGAGUUACUGGGCGGAAAGGGUGUGUAGGCGGUUGUUUAAGUUUGGUGUGAAAUCUCCCGGCUCAACUGGGAGGGUGCGCCGAAUACUGAAUGACUUGGAGUGCGGGAGAGGAAAGUGGAAUUCCUGGUGUAGCGGUGAAAUGCGUAGAUAUCAGGAGGAACACCGGUGGUGUCGACGGCUUUCUGGACCGUAACUGACGCUGAGACACGAAAGCGUGGGUAGCAAACAGG
rnacentral:rRNA from 1 species